rnacentral:lncRNA from 1 species
UUGGCUGAUCCCUUUCGCUGUAUGGCGUGCUCUUUUGGGUUGGGCGUCGGCUAAGAGUGCUCGAAGCGUGGAUUAACUCCAGUCUUCUAUCAGGUGUGUAUUUCUCACUACUCUAGCUGUAGGAUGGCCACAAUGGGCCGAAAAGGGCCAUGUGGGCCCAAUGGGCCUAUGGGCCCAAUUGGAUAAGUUUGUUUGAUUGUGUAGUAAAUAUUGGACUAGGCUAGGUGAAUCUCAUAUUUGUGGCUAGAUUUGGGCUAAAAGGGCCACACGAGUGUGUGGGCCCAUUUGGGCUGAGAAUAGGCUUUAGGCCCAUUCGUAUUGUUAUCCCUGUUUAGAAUACUUUAGUUUAUCAAAUUACUAAAAUGUCCUCAAUUUGUAAAAUUACCAAAGUUACAGAAUUAUCGUUUUACCCUUGAUUUACAGAAUUACCGUUUUACCCUCGAUUUAUAGAAUUACCAUUUUACCCUUGAUUCACAGAAUUACCGUUUUACCCUUGAUUUACAGAAUUACCAUUUUACACUCGAUUUACAAAAUUACUAAAAUACCCUUGAUUUACAAAAUUACCAAAAUACCCCUAGUUUGUAAAAUUACCAAAAUACCAUUGGUUUGAGAAAUUACCGAAAUACCACCAAUUUGUAAAAUUAUCAAAAUACCCCUGAUUUACAAAAUUACAGAAAUACCCUUGACUUUUUUAAAAAUUAUAGGAAUACCAUUGGUUUAUAAAAUUACUGAAAUACCCUUGGUUUGUUGAUUUACCAAAACACCCUUGUAGGAUAAAAUGACUAAAAAACCCCUAAUAGGUAAAAAGACCGUAAAGCCCCUAUAGGGUAAUGUGACCGUAAUACCCCUGUAUGGUAAAAUGACGAAUAUGCCCUUAUGAUCCGUAUGACUGAUGUGCUUAGGAGUUACAUAUAUUGAUAUUGGAUUAGUUAAGUUUGAGUGAUAGGUGGUGGUUAUCGUAGGUGAUUGAUUUGGGAAAUGUUUCAACUUCAACCCAUAACAGGUGUGUAAUAACCCUCGCAGUAGCUUAGAUUAAUAUUCGCCGAAAAGCCGAAAUGCUAAAAUUCUGGUAUUUCAGGAACUUGUGAUUUUACCUUUGCUUAAAGAUGCGAUAGAUACGAUAUGAUCGGUGUUUGGAUCGAUGGAGCAGGUAAGAGCGCAAUUUUGUGCAUGAUGGUAAGUUGGGCCUCAAUGGGCUGGAAUCGGGCCCAAUGGGCUUUUGGGCCCAUUUGGGUAAAACUGAUAGAAAAUGGAAUCUGGAAAAGUUGCAUGUUAACACGGUUAGUACUGUUGUAAAAUUUGGAUUAAGCAGGCUUAGUGGGCUAAAUCAGCAUUCAUAGGGCCCAUUAGGGGUUUUGGGCCCAAAAGCCCGAAUUUGAUAAAGUGGGUUAAAGAUCAUUGUUUAAACACUCGAAAAUAUUGAUAAUUGUUAAUGAACAUGGAAAACCCUGAUAUUUGGUAAAAUUACGAAAUUACCCUUAUAAUAUGAAAAAUGAUUGUUUUACCCUUGUGGACAAGUGACUGACUUGGACUGUGUGGUUGAUGGAUUUGAUUGUGAAUAUAUGUUGGUGAUAUGAAUGACUUGACUGUGAUUGUUUGAUUCAAAUAUGGGCAUGACAUUCUGCAUACAUGACAUGUUGCAUGGGUUGAGUUUUAUACAUGGAGGAAGUGCUAAAAGGGCUAUGCCCCAGUUUACUGAAAAGGGCUUUGCCCUAGUUUACCGAAAAGGGCUUUGCCUCAGUUUAUCAAAAAGGACUUUGCCCCAGUUAUUAAAAUAGGCUAGGCCUCCAGUUAUAUGAUAAUGCAGCUAUGCUUCCAGUGGAGAGUUUGGUUGGGUGGGUUGAGUUAUUCCCCACAUGGUGUGUUGGUUGGUACGGGUGGAGAGUAGCGGAUGGUAGGUUGAGUAGUCUCCCCAAAUGGGCUUGCAUACAUUCAUUGAUAUUACAUGUGAUACUGAAAUGGGCCUAAGGGCCAUACCAUUUACAGUAAAGGCUUCGACCCAGUGAUAUGAUUUAUGAAAAGGCUUCGGCCCAGUGAUAUGAUUUAUGAAAAGGCUUCGGCCCAGUAACCGUUAAACGAAAGGCUUCGGCCCAGUAUAUGUCAAGACUAAAUAGGGCUUUGGCCCAGAUUGUACUGAUACUGUGUUUUCACUGUUUGUUUGUUAUUGGGAUUACACACUGAGUUUUCGUAAACUCACCCCGUUUCUAACUGUGCAGGUAAUCCCUAAUCUUAGAUGGUUUGAAGCUGCGAGGGACUCGGAGAUGGCCACACUACUAUUUCUGUUUCUUUUAAUUGCAAUAAGUAGCCGAUUUAUUUCUUUAUAAGUUUUAUCUUAUUAAUAUUAUUAUUUGGUUUUGGGUUGUAAUAAGGCCAUUUUAAUUAUUUUUCUGGUAUUAUUUUAUUUUAUACCCUAUAUUUUUCUGAUAACAAUAUGAGUUAGACCU